rnacentral:rRNA from 1 species
UACGAAGGGGGCUAGCGUUGCUCGGAAUUACUGGGCGUAAAGCGCACGUAGGCGGCUUUCUAAGUCGGGGGUGAAAUCCUGGAGCUCAACUCCAGAACUGCCCUUCGAUACUGGAGAGCUUGAGUCCGGGAGAGGUGAGUGGAACUGCGAGUGUAGAGGUGAAAUUCGUAGAUAUUCGCAAGAACACCAGUGGCGAAGGCGGCUCACUGGCCCGGUACUGACGCUGAGGUGCGAAAGCGUGGGGAGCGAACAGG